CCACGCCUAGCUCUGGUGGGACUCUGCUAUAGAAAGUCCCACUUGCAGCCUAGAACUUCGCAAUUACAGAAUCAUGGAAUGGUUUGCAGGAUGCAGCCUCCAGUUCAGCUGUAUACACUUCAGUCCUCACUUGUAUGAACUUUUCUUCAUACAGCAUUUUAAAAGCAGAUCCAUCAGCAGGACAGACCUCUAACAGGAGCUGUUUGGAGACCAGACUAUGGGAGCUAGAACUAGGAAGAAAGACAUCGCCACCAUCAUAAAUGGAAUUGGUAAAAACACCUGUAAGAGAAAG